GCCAGAGUCCCAGACUUGGUGAGGGUGUCCCAGAGCUCAUCCAGGCUCCCCUCACUCUCUGGAGGGUGCUGCACACUGUGGCCCAGGGCUGGAGCACAGACAGGAGGGCACAUCAGCUCCUCACAGCCAUGAGCUGCAGGUUUUCAGGCUGGAGCUGUCCGUGGGAUUUCCACUGGAGAUGUUCACGUGGGGAAGAUGUGAGGUGCUGGUGUGCACCGAGGAGUUGUGUUAACCCAUAUUCAUGUACCACUCAGUAAUCCACACAUAAACACGUAUUUCUGCUACUGUCUCAA